rnacentral:rRNA from 1 species
AGCGAACGCUGGCGGCAGGCUUAACACAUACAAGUCGAGCGGGCCCUUCGGGGUCAGCGGCGGACGGGUGAGUAACGCGUGGGAACGUGCCUUCUGGUCUGGAAUAACCCUGGGAAACUAGGGCUAAUACCGGAUACGCCCUUUUGGGGAAAGGUUUACUGCCGGAAGAUCGGCCCGCGUCUGAUUAGCUAGUUGGUGGGGUAACGGCCUACCAAGGCGACGAUCAGUAGCUGGUCUGAGAGGAUGAUCAGCCACACUGGGACUGAGACACGGCCCAGACUCCUACGGGAGGCAGCAGUGGGGAAUAUUGGACAAUGGGCGCAAGCCUGAUCCAGCCAUGCCGCGUGAGUGAUGAAGGCCUUAGGGUUGUAAAGCUCUUUUAUCCGGGACGAUAAUGACGGUACCGGAGGAAUAAGCCCCGGCUAACUUCGUG